rnacentral:rRNA from 1 species
GACGAAGGAUGCAAGCGUUAUCCGGAUUCACUGGGUUUAAAGGGUGCGUAGGUGGGCAGGUAAGUCAGUGGUGAAAUCUCCGGGCUUAACUCGGAAACUGCCGUUGAUACUAUCUGUCUUGAAUAUCGUGGAGGUUAGCGGAAUAUGUCAUGUAGCGGUGAAAUGCUUAGAUAUGACAUAGAACACCCAUUGCGAAGGCAGCUAACUACACGAUCAUUGACACUGAGGCACGAAAGCGUGGGGAGCAAACAGG